AAAUUGAAGAGUUUGAUCAUGGCUCAGAUUGAACGCUGGCGGCAGGCCUAACACAUGCAAGUCGAACGGUAACAGGAAGCAGCUUGCUGCUUUGCUGACGAGUGGCGGACGGGUGAGUAAUGUCUGGGAAACUGCCUGAUGGAGGGGGAUAACUACUGGAAACGGUGGCUAAUACCGCAUAACGUCGCAAGACCAAAGAGGGGGACCUUAGGGCCUCUUGCCAUCAGAUGUGCCCAGAUGGGAUUAGCUUGUUGGUGGGGUAACGGCCCACCAAGGCGACGAUCCCUAGCUGGUCUGAGAGGAUGACCAGCCACACUGGAACUGAGACACGGUCCAGACUCCUACGGGAGGCAGCAGUGGGGAAUAUUGCACAAUGGGCGCAAGCCUGAUGCAGCCAUGCCGCGUGUAUGAAGAAGGCCUUCGGGUUGUAAAGUACUUUCAGCGGGGAGGAAGGGAGUAAGGUUAAUAACCUUAUUCAUUGACGUUACCCGCAGAAGAAGCACCGGCUAACUCCGUGCCAGCAGCCGCGGUAAUACGGAGGGUGCAAGCGUUAAUCGGAAUUACUGGGCGUAAAGCGCACGCAGGCGGUCUGUCAAGUCGGAUGUGAAAUCCCCGGGCUCAACCUGGGAACUGCAUUCGAAACUGGCAGGCUUGAGUCUUGUAGAGGGGGGUAGAAUUCCAGGUGUAGCGGUGAAAUGCGUAGAGAUCUGGAGGAAUACCGGUGGC
rnacentral:rRNA from 1 species